rnacentral:lncRNA from 10 species
CGAAAGAGCCAAUCGUCUACACGGGCAGUGUAGAACGGGCGCCUGGGCUGCCUGAGGCGUCAACAUGCCUGCCUGCAAUGUGUUUGUGCACGUGCGUGCACAUGUGUAUGUGGGUAAACACAUCUGUGCACGACUGCUGCUGUUGGAUCUCAGAAUACAAAAGCUAGGCCUAGGGGAUGCCAAAUUCCAGGGGCCAGAAAGAGCUUGGGAUAAAAAGAAACUUCAAGGGGACGGCUUUGACCUGGGCUGAGUCUGCCUGUGCCAUCCAACUGGAGUCUCAAGUCCUGAGGCAGGACG